CUUAGCUUCUUUGUUGUAGAAUUUACAGAGAUAUGGUUUGUUUGUUAUUUUCUUUUCCUCCUAACCCUCCAUCCCCUAUUUCAGAAAUAAUUUAUAAGGGUUAGCAUAGUUUGAUGCAAUACUUCCAAGCUUAAGGAAGGGUGAUGGACGCAUAUCAGAUUCAAUCGAGAGUAAGGGAGGUGACAGAAGAGAGUGAGCACACAUGGUACUUUCGUGUAUGAUGUUUCAUUCUCGAAGCUAUGUGUGCUCACUCUCUAUCUGUCAC
rnacentral:lncRNA from 1 species